GACGAACGCUGGCGGCGUGCUUAACACAUGCAAGUCGAACGGAAAGGCCCUGCUUUUGUGGGGUGCUCGAGUGGCGAACGGGUGAGUAACACGUGAGUAACCUGCCCUUGACUUUGGGAUAACUUCAGGAAACUGGGGCUAAUACCGGAUAGGAGCUCCUGCUGCAUGGUGGGGGUUGGAAAGUUUCGGCGGUUGGGGAUGGACUCGCGGCUUAUCAGCUUGUUGGUGGGGUAGUGGCUUACCAAGGCUUUGACGGGUAGCCGGCAUGAGAGGGUGACCGGCCACAUUGGGACUGAGAUACGGCCCAGACUCCUACGGGAGGCAGCAGUGGGGAAUAUUGCACAAUGGGAGGAAGCCUGAUGCAGCAACGCCGCGUGCGGGAUGACGGCCUUCGGGUUGUAAACCGCUUUCGCCUGUGACGAAGCGUGAGUGACGGUAAUGGGUAAAGAAGCACCGGCUAACUACGUG
rnacentral:rRNA from 1 species